UGUAGUCAUAUGCUUGUCUCAAAGAUUAAGCCAUGCAUGUCUAAGUAUAAGCAAUUAUACCGUGAAACUGCGAAUGGCUCAUUAAAUCAGUUAUCGUUUAUUUGAUAGUACCUUACUACUUGGAUAACCGUGGUAAUUCUAGAGCUAAUACAUGCUGAAAACCCCAACUUCGGGAGGGGUGUAUUUAUUAGAUAAAAAACCAACGCCCUUCGGGGCUUCUUGGUGAUUCAUGAUAACUUCACGGAUCGCAUGGCCUUGCGCCGGCGACGGUUCAUUCAAAUUUCUGCCCUAUCAACUUUCGAUGGUAAGGUAUUGGCUUACCAUGGUUUCAACGGGUAACGGGGAAUUAGGGUUCGAUUCCGGAGAGGGAGCCUGAGAAACGGCUACCACAUCCAAGGAAGGCAGCAGGCGCGCAAAUUACCCAAUCCCGACACGGGGAGGUAGUGACAAUAAAUACUGAUACAGGGCUCUUUUGGGUCUUGUAAUUGGAAUGAGAGCAAUUUAAACCCCCCAACGAGGAACAAUUGGAGGGCAAGUCUGGUGCCAGCAGCCA
rnacentral:rRNA from 1 species